rnacentral:lncRNA from 1 species
GCCCAGGGUUCGCCAGUUCGGAUCCCGGGUGUGGACAUGGCACCGCUUGGCAAGCCAUGCUGUGGUAGGCUGUCUCAGAGGAUCUUGGAGAUCUGGUAACCGCCCCCUCGCACUGAAGCGGCUAAAGGCAGACCAUGGACUAGACCCGCCGGAGGGGCUGGCACUGCCCCCACCCCCUCUGCCAGCCGACGCCUCUUGCUAAAAACAGCCGGGCCCGGGGCCUUUCAGGCCACCCCCUCCAGGCCCGGGCAGGUAUUAGAGGCCGAAGCUGGGCCAGGCGAGCUGGACACCAUGCUGUUCACAGAGACCGCCCACUUCGUGGUGAAUUUCCUUCUGUCCAGGCAGCCCCGGGCCACGACCCCGCAUCUCCUGGACCAGGUGUUGUGUUUCUGGGGCUGCCGAGGCCCGGUCCUGCCGGCGCCCGCCUCCCGCCGCAGCCUGGCCGACCACUGGCUGAGCCCGCAGCGCCGCGCCCGCCGGGCGCCGCCUGCUGCUGGCCGGCGCGCAACCUGCCGCCCCCACCGGGGCCACCAGCCCGGCCAGCCGCUGCGGAGCGCGCCCGCGCCUCCCGUGGAAGCACCAGUGGCAGAAUAUUAACUACCAACUCCUGGACAAGAGGAAGAGCCAUCUGGUUCCCCUGCGCCCAAUGUGAGGAAACAGGCUCCAGGUUCAUCACAUGGUGGUCCCAAGGCCGACUUGUGCAAGCCAGGAUGACAGGAGGACGGCCUGGGAGCACUGCUCGAUCCCAUAGCCCUUCCCUGUGGCUGAAGAUGAUCCAUCUUCGCCCUGUCUCCUGAGGUCUCCGUGUUUCUGCCCUUCACGGCCCAAAUAAAGCAGCUUUUGCCUCUCUCUGGCCCUCUCCACUUUGCAGGGUGAUGAUCUCAGUUCCUUCCAUUCGCAUACACUGUUAGAC